rnacentral:rRNA from 1 species
GGGAUCAUUACCGAGUUUACAACUCCCAAACCCAAUGUGAACGUUACCAAACUGUUGCCUCGGCGGGAUCUCUGCCCCGGGUGCGUCGCAGCCCCGGACCAAGGCGCCCGCCGGAGGACCAACCAAAACUCUUAUUGUAUACCCCCUCGCGGGUUUUUUUAUAAUCUGAGCCUUCUCGGCGCCUCUCGUAGGCGUUUCGAAAAUGAAUCAAAACUUUCAACAACGGAUCUCUUGGUUCUGGCAUCGAUGAAGAACGCAGCGAAAUGCGAUAAGUAAUGUGAAUUGCAGAAUUCAGUGAAUCAUCGAAUCUUUGAACGCACAUUGCGCCCGCCAGUAUUCUGGCGGGCAUGCCUGUCCGAGCGUCAUUUCAACCCUCGAACCCCUCCGGGGGGUCGGCGUUGGGGAUCGGCCCUCCCUUAGCGGGUGGCCGUCUCCGAAAUACAGUGGCGGUCUCGCCGCAGCCUCUCCUGCGCAGUAGUUUGCACACUCGCAUCGGGAGCGCGGCGCGUCCACAGCCGUUAAACACCCAACUUCUGAAAUGUGACCUCGGAUCAGGUAG